AGCCAUGCAUGUCUAAGUAUAAAUGGUAUACAGUGAAACUGCGAAUGGCUCAUUAAAACAGUUAUAGUUUAUUUGGUAAUCGAAUUUACAUGGGAUAACCGUGGUAAUUCUAGAGCUAAUACAUGCUGUGAAGCCCGACUUUUCGGAAGGGCCGUAUUUAUUAGAUAACAGACCAAUAUUCUUCGUGUCUAUUGUGGUGAAUCAUAGUAACUAAUCGGAUCGCAUGGGCCUGUCCCGCGACAAACCAUUCAAGUUUCUGCCCCAUCAGCUUUCGAUGGUAGUGUAUUGGACUACCAUGGCUUUUACGGGUAACGGAGGAUUAGGGUUCGAUUCCGGAGAGGGAGCCUGAGAAACGGCUACCACAUCUAAGAAGGCAGCAGCGCGUAAAUUACCCAAUCCUAACUCAGGAGUAGUGACAAGAAAUAAUGGGUCGGAGCUACGCUCCGGGACCGCAAUGAGAUGAAUUUACACCCCUUUUCGAGGAUCAAUUGGAGGGCAAGUCUGGUGCCAGCAGCCGCGGUAAUUCCAGCUCCAAUAGCGUAUAUUAAAGUUGUUGCAGUUAAAAAGCUCGUAGUUGGACUUCUGGCAGGGAGCCAAUGCCCGUUUGAUACGUGCGCAGAGGCCCCCUACCAUCCUUCUGUUAACCCUUCUAGGUCUUCACUGAUCUGCUGGGAGCCCAGAUAUUUUACCUUGAGAAAAUUAGAGUGUUUCAGGCAGGCUAGCGCCGGAAUACAUUAGCAUGGAAUAAUAGAAUAGGACUUUAUACCUCUGUCUGUUGGUCUGAGGGGAUAGAGUAAUGAUUAAUAGGGAUAGUUGGGGGCAUUAGUACUUUACUGUCAGAGGUGAAAUUCUCGGAUUUGUAAA
rnacentral:rRNA from 1 species